UACGUAGGGUGCGAGCGUUAAUCGGAAUUACUGGGCGUAAAGCGUGCGCAGGCGGUUCGUUGUGUCGGCGGUGAAAGCCCCGGGCUCAACCUGGGAAUGGCCGUUGAAACUGGCGAACUGGAGUGUGGCAGAGGGGGGUGGAAUUCCGCGUGUAGCAGUGAAAUGCGUAGAGAUGCGGAGGAACACCGAUGGCGAAGGCAGCCCCCCGGGCUAAUACUGACGCUCAGGCACGAAAGCGUGGGGAGCAAACAGG
rnacentral:rRNA from 1 species